GCAGGAGUCGCUCAACCUGGUAGAGCACUGGUCUCGAAAACCAGCGUCUUUUAGACAUGGAGGUUCAAAUCCUCCCUCCUGCG
rnacentral:tRNA from 1 species